CCUACGGGAGGCAGCAGUGGGGAAUAUUGGACAAUGGGGGCAACCCUGAUCCAGCCAUGCCGCGUGUGUGAAGAAGGCCCUCGGGUUGUAAAACACUUUCAGUGAGGAAGAACGCCUGGUGGUUAAUACCCAUCAGGAAAGACAUCACUCACAGAAGAAGCACCGGCUAACUCCGUGCCAGCAGCCGCGGUAAUACGGAGGGUGCGAGCGUUAAUCGGAAUUACUGGGCGUAAAGCGCGCGUAGGUGGCUUGAUAAGCCGGUUGUGAAAGCCCCGGGCUCAACCUGGGAACGGCAUCCGGAACUGUCAAGCUAGAGUGCAGGAGAGGAAGGUAGAAUUCCCGGUGUAGCGGUGAAAUGCGUAGAGAUCGGGAGGAAUACCAGUGGCGAAGGCGGCCUUCUGGACUGACACUGACACUGAGGUGCGAAAGCGUGGGUAGCAAACAGGAUUAGAUACCCUUGUAGUC
rnacentral:rRNA from 1 species